rnacentral:rRNA from 1 species
GCAGUACUUAGCCCAAACACCAACCAAUACAACUACCAACACCAACUAAAAUAAAACAUUCACUACAUCCAAAAGUAUAGGAGAUAGAAAUUCUAAUUGGCGCUAUAGAGACAGUACCGCAAGGGAACAAUGAAAGAAACAACCAAAGCACUAAACAGCAAAGCUUACCCCUUCUACCUUUUGCAUAAUGAUUUAACUAGAACAACUUAGCAAAGAGAACUUAAGUUAACACCCCCGAAACCAGACGAGCUAUUCACGAGCAGCACAAAAAGAGCAAACUCAUCUAUGUAGCAAAAUAGUGAGAAGACUUAUGAAUAGAGGUGAGAAGCCUACCGAGCCUGGUGAUAGCUGGUUGUCCAGAAAUGAAUUUUAGUUCAAACUUAAGCUUACCUAACAGAGUCUCAACUCAACUGUAAACUUAAGAGAUAGUCUAAAAGGGGACAGCCUUUUAGACACGGGUUACAACCCUCACUAGAGAGUAAGUAUAAAAACAGACCAUAGUUGGCCUAAAAGCAGCCACCAAUAAAGAAAGCGUUCAAGCUCAACAACACAACCAUCUAAAUCCCAAAAACAACAACUAACUCCUAGCACAAAACUGGACCACUCUAUAACAAUAUAGAAGAGACACUGUUAAUAUGAGUAACAAGAAAUUAUUUCUCCCCGCACAAGUGUAUAUCAGACCGGAUACCCACUGAUAGUUAACAAGUACAAAGCAAACCAAGCUACAAGCCCUUUUCACACCCAACUGUUAACCCAACACAGGCGUGCCCCAGGGAAAGAUCAAAAGAAGUGAAAGGAACUCGGCAAACACAAACCCCGCCUGUUUACCAAAAACAUCACCUCUAGCAUACCUAGUAUUAGAGGCACUGCCUGCCCAGUGACAUACGUUCAACGGCCGCGGUAUCCUGACCGUGCAAAGGUAGCAUAAUCACUUGUUCCCUAAAUAGGGACUUGUAUGAAUGGCCACACGAGGGUUUUACUGUCUCUCACCUCCGAUCAGUGAAAUUGACCUCUCCGUGAAGAGGCGGAGAUACCAUAAUAAGACGAGAAGACCCUAUGGAGCUUUAAUUAACUAGCCUAAACAGAACACUAUCAACUCCGACAAAGGAACAAACAAACCUUUAACAUAGGCUAGCAAUUUAGGUUGGGGUGACCUCGGAGCACAAAAAACCCUCCGAGCAAUACAAACUUAGACCUACCAGUCAAAAUGCAUACCACUUAUUGAUCCAAAAACUUGAUCAACGGAACAAGUUACCCUAGGGAUAACAGCGCAAUCCUAUUUAAGAGUCCCUAUCGACAAUAGGGUUUACGACCUCGAUGUUGGAUCAGGACACCCUAAUGGUGCAGCAGCUAUUAACGGUUCGUUUGUUCAACGAUUAAAGUCCUACGUGAUCUGAGUUCAGACCGGAGUAAUCCAGGUCGGUUUCUAUCUAUUACCACUAAGCCUCUCCCAGUACGAAAGGACCAGAGAGACAAGGCCCACUUUACCAGAAGCGCCUUCAAGAAUCAACAGAUGACACAAUCUCAAUCUGACUUCAACAAAUAUUAUUCCCCAAAAUCAGGGCUCA